CACUGCCCCUGGCCCGUGACCCCGCGUGCCUCCUCCUGCCUCUGGUAGGGCUGAGAUCGCACCGUCGCAGGUGAGGGCGAAGUAGAGCGAGAAUGCACACCUGUCCGGAAGAGGCCGUUUCGUGGCAUUUUCAAUCAGUGCAUAUCAGCAGGGAUACAGGACCUAACAUCAAGAGAAACACUGCUAUAAAAUACCAUCGCAAAACCUUCAGCGCUCCUUUGUGCAUAGAAGUCAAAGCCAAGUCCUCCUAUUUUCUCUCAGCAGAUAUCCUGGAGGCCACUCUUACAAGUUCCAACGGGAAUAGUGAUCAGAGGCCUGCUGUAAUCUUACAGUUCAAAAAAAGACAAAAGGGUAACUGGGACAAAUAAGGAAAACAGUGACAUGCAAGCUUUUCUAGAUGGAAACAAGAGUUCAGGAUGGUCCUGGCUCCAUUCAUCUGUGCAUUCAUCGAGCCUCAACUGAUGAUCAAGUAAGGUAUAUAAAAGAUUCUCUACUAAAGACACAGAUAAUACUUGGGGGAAAAAAAGCUGAACAGAGAUUGGAGGGGUAGAAUGGCCUCCAGCAAUAAAUUCCUAACUAAAUAAAUCUCUAUAGACAAGCCACU
rnacentral:lncRNA from 1 species